GCCCUAGUAGCUCAACACUAGAGCAUUGGUCUUGUAAUCCAAAGGUCGGAGGUUAAAACCCCCCCUAGUGCU
rnacentral:tRNA from 1 species